GUGAAAGACACAAGGCUACCACUAGAAAAAUGGAUUGCAGAAUUUAGUACCUACACUAUAGAAACCCAGAUGUUAGAUAAGCAGAAGAUGCUCUCUUUGCUGGAAGAAAAGUAUGAGCCAGUCAGGGCUAAGUGGACGACUGAAAGGUGUGCUGUAUGCAGAUGGGUAGAAGACUGGGAAGAAAAUAAAUGAUCAUCUGUAACAGAUGUCAGGUGGCUGUACACCAAGAAUGCUAUGGGGUAAGCAAAUCUCAGGACCUCACCUCCUGGGUAUGCAGAGCAUGUGAAACACCAGAUAUUGAGAGAGAGUGUUGUCUUUGUCCUGUAAAAGGCGGUGCUUUAAAACCAAGCGAUGUCGAGGGUUUGUGGGUUCAUGUCACAUACUCACAUGUGCUUGGUUCCGACCGAAAGUUGGGUUUCUGAAUCAUGAAAAUAUGGAGCCUGCUGUUGGACUUUUCAAAAUUCCAGCAAAUUCAUAUUUAAAGGUUUGCACAAUUUGUAAGGAGACACAUGGUUCCUGCGUGCAUUGCUGCAAGUGUGCCACUCAAUAAGCCUUUUAGGUUUGCACAAUUUGUAAGCAGACACAUGGUUCCUGCGUGCAUUGCUGCAAGUGUGCCACUCAAUUCCACGCAAUGUGUGCGUCACGGGCAGGUUACAGCGCUUUCCAAGAAGUCCCCAUAUGUUCAAACUACCCAUAGGAUCAGUGGUCUUAUGUUAGCAAGCCACACUAGUAUCAGGCACAUAUUCAGCAAAUGUUUGAGCCAAUAUGAUAAAUUGAGGAAGAAACAAGCUUUUCUUUACAAUUACCGAAAGUUUCCCAUGUUUGCUGACAAUGAUCUUUCAGAGUUUGAUGAACCAAGGGACAUAAUUGAGAGUUUGGUAGAUGAGUACAAGGCCUGUGAGUCACCAGAUUAAAUCAAAUGGGGGAAUGGAGGUAUAAGCUCUUCCCAUCUAUAAUUGAGAGUUUGGUAGAUGAGUACAAGGCCUGUGAGUCACCAGAUUAAAUCAAAUGGGGGAAUGGAGGUAUAAGCUCUUCCCA